CUGAGCAACCGCGUCACCGGAAAUCAUGCACGCCCCCCGCUCCCGCGCCACCUCAGCGAGGCGCGGCUGCCAAGUGGCAGAGGCCAGAGUGGAAGCGGCCAGUGCAGACCUCCCGGAGCCGCCGGAGACGCCCGAGCCCCGAGCCCCGAGCCCGGCCGUGCACGCCCCCGCCCCGCCCGGUCCGGAGACCAACGUGCCUGCCUGCAGCUGUCUCUGCUUUCUUACUUUAAGUGGUGGGAGCUUAGUGGUAUAAGCAAUGGCCUCUGAACUCUUAACAGCCAGGGUGCACCAGGAGAUGCUGACAUUCAGAGAUGUGGCUGUGGGCUUCACCCAGGAGGAGUGGGGACACUUGCACCCAUAUCAGAAGGCUCUCUACCGGGAUGUGAUGCUGGAGAACUACCAGAACCUGGUUU